rnacentral:rRNA from 1 species
UACGUAGGGUGCGAGCGUUGUCCGGAAUUACUGGGCGUAAAGAGCUCGUAGGUGGUUUGUCGCGUUGUCCGUGAAAACUCACAGCUUAACUGUGGGCGUGCGGGCGAUACGGGCAGACUGGAGUACUGCAGGGGAGACUGGAAUUCCUGGUGUAGCGGUGGAAUGCGCAGAUAUCAGGAGGAACACCGGUGGCGAAGGCGGGUCUCUGGGCAGUAACUGACGCUGAGGAGCGAAAGCAUGGGGAGCGAACAGG